UACGAAGGGGGCUAGCGUUGUUCGGAAUACUGGGCGUAAAGCGCACGUAGGCGGAUACUUAAGUCAGGGGUGAAAUCCCGGGGCUCAACCCCGGAACUGCCUUUGAUACUGGGUAUCUCGAGUCCGGAAGAGGUGAGUGGAAUUCCGAGUGUAGAGGUGAAAUUCGUAGAUAUUCGGAGGAACACCAGUGGCGAAGGCGGCUCACUGGUCCGGUACUGACGCUGAGGUGCGAAAGCGUGGGGAGCAAACAGG
rnacentral:rRNA from 1 species